GGCCCACGGCCCCCACCCUCACCCUGGGGCGCCCCCCGGAGCCCCCACCUGAAGCCCCCCUGCCUGGACCUCACUCUCGAACACACGUGCACACACACAUCCACGCAGUUUCACCAAGAUGAUGGAAAUAACAAUUUCGCUGCUUUUCUUUUUUCUUUUUUUUUUUUUUUGUACCAGGCAGUUAAAAAAAAAAACCACCCCAAAAAAGAAACCACAAAAAAAACCCCAAACAACCAAACAAAAAAACUUUUUGCUGUGUCCUUUCUGACCAGUCAGCACGUUCCCCCUCAAAUAUUUUUUUUGUUUGUUUGUUUCCUGAAACGCGAGAAUUCAGCAGUAUCUUUGGCAACACUUUAUCACGACCUUAAUUUAAAGAAUAAAAAUAAAAUUGAUCCACGUCUAUAUACAGUAUGUGAUUGCGCGGAGUUGGAGGGGGGCUGGGCUGGAAGGGCGGGGGUCCCGGCUCUGGGCCCAUGCAGAUGCUGUGGCCCCUGGGGACGGGCAGCAGGAGAGGGGUUAAGGCGGAGUGGGUGGGCAGGGCUGGCAGAAGCUGAGCGCAGAGCUAGGGGCAGGGGUUUAGUGCAAUUCCCGAGGAGGUUUGUGUUAAAAUGUGCUUGGCGGGGUUCAGCCCUUACCCCCGCCGUAGUCCCAGAGGCCUCGACCCCCCAAGUCCAGUUGUCCCCUCUGGCCAGGAUGACAGCUGUGAUUUUUCAGUUGGUUUUAUUGCGAGGGGGUGUGUGGGUAGUGGGGAGAGGGCUAGGGGUAGGGGAGAGGGUGAAGACAAAGUUUCGAAUCUCCAAACGUCUCGUGGGGUCUGGGGGGCCUGGGUCAGGGGAUGAAGAUGCAGGUGGUAGGGGUGCCCUGAGCGGUGGCCCAUGGGUCCCGCCGAGUCGUAAGUGCCAUGAAGGAAGGCAGCAAGGGCCAUGGCACUCGAGCUCUGGCACCCCCCCUUCCCCAUCUUCUCCCCUUUCUCCACGCCUGAAAAUAAAUAGAUUUGUAUCGCAGUGGCCAGGAGAUAUAGGGGACCACAGGCAGGAUCAGGAGGUGGUGGGGGGGCUGUCAGGGAGAUGGAGGGGGAGACCCCCACUUAGGAAGUGCCCUGAGGAAGGAGGGUGGGGGUG
rnacentral:lncRNA from 1 species